AGGUUCUGCAUUGCUGCAGUGUUUUUCCAAUUGGUGGUCGAGGCUCGCUGCGAUUCUUCCGGGUAUUUCCAUCCAUUUCCUGCACCAGAACACUGACGAAGCAAUAUGGGCGAGGAAUCGGUUAUGGAGUCGCAGGUGUCGACAAUGGUUUCCACUAUGGAGUCCAGCGUGUCUACUGUAGAGGGAAUGACAAGCGCUACUUCGCAGCUCUUCUUGGGGGCGUCUGCCUCCUCUGUGUCGGCAUGCUUCUAGUGCUGGGAUUGGGUGGAGUGUUUUAAGAUGACAUCUCUGGCGACGCUGGCAGCACUGGUGGACAAUCGGGAAAUUACCAAGGAGGAGGAGGAGG